rnacentral:tRNA from 1 species
GUUUUAAUAAUUUAAAAAAAAAUUUUGAUUUUGUAAAUCAAGUAUAGAGGGUAUAUCUUUAAAACA